GGGGUUGUAGCUCAGUGGAAGAGCACUUGCUUAGCAUGCAUGAGGCCCUGGGUUUGAUCACCAGCACCA
rnacentral:tRNA from 1 species